rnacentral:rRNA from 1 species
GCAAGUCGAACGGCAGCGCGGGUACUUGUACCUGGCGGCGAGUGGCGGACGGGUGAGUAAUGCAUAGGAAUCUGCCCAUUAGUUGGGGAUAACGUAGGGAAACUUACGCUAAUACCGAAUACGCCCUACGGGGGAAAGCAGGGGAUCUUUGGACCUUGCGCUAGCGGAUGAGCCUAUGUCAGAUUAGCUUGUUGGUAGGGUAAUGGCCUACCAAGGCAACGAUCCGUAGCUGGUCUGAGAGGACGAUC